rnacentral:lncRNA from 1 species
CAAUAAUGUCCCAGUGCCAAUUAGCAUACCAGUGCCAUUUUUGGCUUUCUAAGAACUAUUUUUCAGUAGAUGAAGAAAUUCAGACUCAGAAGAGAAAUGGCUACCCCAGAUCCGGGACAAAGAAAGUAUGAAGUAAGCUUCUGACAUCUUGUGACAGAAAACAAAGGCUCAAAGAAUGACACGGAUUGGCUCAAAUAACCCAGGAGACGGUUGGAAGGGAUCUGCCCAGUAACUCUGCAAGACAGGUGACUUCAUCUCUGGCUGACAGAGGAGGUUAUUCAAAGAGGAAGAGGUCAGACAGAUGACCACGAUCAAGCCCAGAGAACAGCAGAACCCCGUCUCUCGGGUGCCAUAGACCUGGCCCAUCCUGUCCUCAAGGGGCUGGAUUAGCAGAGAGAAGGCACAGGGUCUCACUCUGUCUCCCAGGCGGGUCUUGAACUCCUAGGCUCAAGCAAUCCUACUGCCUCAGCCUCCCGAAGUGCUGGGAUUGCAGGUAUGAGCCACCAUGCCUGGCCCCAGAAAUAUUCUGAACGAGGCAAAAGGAACAAGAAACAAACAAAGAGAGUCUAAACAAAAGACAUCCAGACCAGGGGGCUCGAUAUUGCUGCUGUAACUUUAACAUCCAGACAUGCACCUUGCCAGAAGUUUGACUUCCAGCUGCUGGCUAUUGCCAGGCCCCAAGGUCUUAUGUAUUAUGGCACUCAUAAGUCUGGUGGGAUGGGAAGGAGGGGAUGCCUUUUAAUUGGGAAAAUAUGUAUCUUCUUCAAAAUUAUUUUAAAUUAGCAUUUAGCUAAUAAUAAGCUCAAUUAAGAGAACAUAUUUAUAUGAAAAUCUAAUUUAUUUAAUUAUUUCAAAUGAGAAAUAAAAGAGAAGUCAUUUGAAAGCCAACAUUUGCACUGCAUGUGUGUCUCUGUGUGUAUGUGUUUUUAUACCCGUGUCCCUUUUUUAUGACCUGCUGGAAAAUCCUGGCUGUCCCACCCAGAACACACUGAGCCCUACAGUUCCGUUCCUUUCC